UACGUAGGGGGCAAGCGUUGUCCGGAUUUACUGGGCGUAAAGCGCACGUAGGCGGAUCUUUAAGUCAGAGGUGAAAUCCCAAGGCUCAACCUUGGAACUGCCUUUGAUACUGGGGAUCUCGAGUUCGGGAGAGGUGAGUGGAACUGCAAGUGUAGAGGUGAAAUUCGUAGAUAUUCGCAAGAACACCAGUGGCGAAGGCGGCUCACUGGCCCGAUACUGACGCUGAGGUGCGAAAGCGUGGGGAGCAAACAGG
rnacentral:rRNA from 1 species